GGGAAAAGGCGGACGCACCCUGAUCAUCUGCCCUGUGACGACAAGAUCACCUGCAUCUGAAACUGUCAGUGGGCACAGAGCUUUCUUCAAGGGAAGUGUCAGCAAUCGACCAAGCUGGCGAAGCAGAUCUGGCACUGAAUGCCUGGAGCAGCCCUGUGGCAUUAGGAGACAAGAAUUAGGUGCCUACAAAACACCUGGCAAAGUACUUAGGCCAUAAAAGCAGGUUGGUGAAGUCAUCGCUCUUGCUCAUGUAGUCCGUGUGCUUGUGCUUCUCAGUCUCCAGCUCGUACACGGUGCGCCUAUG